UAACUGUCUUUAUAUUUUACUUGUUAAAAUUAGUUUAGGGAGUGAAAAGACUACCAUCUCUUUGUAUAAGACGAGAAGACCCUUAGAGUUUAAAUUAUAUACGGUAAGAAUUCCGUUCAGUUUUUGUUGGGGCAACAAGAUAACACGAAUCGUAAAAUUAUCUUUUUUAAAGUCAGACAAACCAGUUUUUUCUCAUAUGAUAAAACUACCUUAGGGAUAACAGCAUAAUUUUAAUUAAAGUUUGUGACCUCGAUGUUGGACUAG
rnacentral:rRNA from 1 species